rnacentral:rRNA from 1 species
CCCUUAGAUGUUCUGGGCCGCACGCGUGCUACACUGAGUGGAUCAGCGGGUCAGGUUGCGCGAAAGCGUUUCCUAAUCUUUAAAUCCGCUCGUGAUGGGGAUUGACGGUUGCAAUUUUCUGUCAUGAACGAGGAAUUCCUAGUAAGCGCAAGUCAGCAGCUUGCGUUGAUUACGUCCCUGCCCUUUGUACACACCGCCCGUCGCUACUACCGAUUGAAUGGUUUAGUGAGAUCUUCGGAUUGGCGCCACUGCGGCUCAGCAAUGGGCUCGGUGGAUGCCGAAAAGUUGAUCAAACUUGAUCAUUUAGAGGAAGUAAAAGUCGUAACA